rnacentral:ncRNA from 2 species
UUCGCCGAGGGGCGCUGCGACCGCGACGCAAGAGCGCGGCCAGGCUUGGCGGAUUCCAAACGUAACGGCGCCCGAUGUCC